rnacentral:rRNA from 1 species
GACGGAGGAUGCAAGUGUUAUCCGGAAUCACUGGGCGUAAAGCGUCUGUAGGUGGUCAAAUAAGUCAACUGUUAAAUCUUGAGGCUCAACCUCAAAAUCGCAGUCGAAACUAUUAGACUAGAGUAUAGUAGGGGUAAAGGGAAUUUCCAGUGGAGCGGUGAAAUGCGUAGAGAUUGGAAAGAACACCGAUGGCGAAGGCACUUUACUGGGCUAUUACUAACACUCAGAGACGAAAGCUAGGGUAGCAAAUGGGAUUAGAAACCCUGUAGUCC